rnacentral:rRNA from 2 species
GACCUGCGGAGGGAUCAUU